rnacentral:lncRNA from 1 species
UGUGAACGCAGAACGGGCUCCUCCAGUGAGCUCAGGCAGUCGGGCUCACAGGCCUCUGAAUCCCCCAGCAACACCCCACGCUGCACUUCUGCAGGGCUGUGUCAAGCUGCAGUCCUGUCAGUGCAGUGAACUUCAUCCCCUGUAAGCAUGCGGGCAGAUCACACCAGGCCAGCCCGAACCUCACAAAGAACGUUCUGAUCUGUCCAUUCUCUCCUGCUGGAAUUUCAGCUUCAGCAAGCUCUGCAAUGUGCUACCCAGGAGAUGCGGAGCUGACGUUGCACGCCUGCAGAUUCCAGCCUUCCCUGUGUCCCUGUGUGAAAGUGGGAAGCAGCAGACCCAGCAGCAGGACCAAAGACAUCAAAAGGAGCAGACCUUCUGCACAGCAGUGGCAGGUUGUUUUGCUGGUGAAGAAAGCCUAGAGGAAGAUGCCCAGAAAAUCCACCCAGUCCCCCAGGAUUUACAGCACCUACAGUACGUGAUCCAUCAGAUUGCUGGGCUUCACAGGAGAGGUGACAUCUUUUUAUCUGCACCUGCAUGUGCUCACAGUGCCCCACGCCUCGUGCGGAUCGCUGCCCUAUGCUGACUCGAAGGCAGGCAAAAAACAUCUGAAACAAGCUGCGUUUGCACGGUAGCUGAACUACAGAAAAGGAGAAAAGUCUUAUCACUGGCAGACAAAUAACUUCUCUGACUCACCUAAUAAUCUUGCGCAAUAAAUCAAACACAAA